UUUUGGACAAUGGGGGCAACCCUGAUCCAGCCAUGCCGCGUGCGGGAAGAAGGCCUUCGGGUUGUAAACCGCUUUUAGCCGGGAAGAAAAGGCCAGACCGAAUAAGUCUGGUUCUUGACGGUACCGGCGGAAUAAGCACCGGCUAACGACGUGCCAGCAGCCGCGGUAAUACGUAGGGAGCAAGCGUUGUUCGGAUUUACUGGGCGUAAAGGGCGCGUAGGCGGCAAAUCAAGUCAGCUGUGAAAUCUCCGGGCUUAACUCGGAACGGUCGGCUGAUACUGCUUUGCUAGAGUGCAGAAAGGGCAAUCGGAAUUCUUGGUGUAGCGGUGAAAUGCGUAGAUAUCGAGAGGAACACCUGAGGCGAAGGCGGGUUGCUAGGCUGACACUGACGCUGAGGCGCGAAAGCCAGGGGAGCAAAC
rnacentral:rRNA from 1 species